ensembl:lncRNA
CAGCCGGCUCCAGCCCCUCCCUCUCACUCCUCCCCUCCCCCUCAGCCCCCCUCCCUCUCCGCCCCUCCCCCCUGCCCGCUCGCCUCCUCGGGGCCCACCGGCCGCCUGGGUCCGGGAAGCGGUCGGGGGCGCCGGGCCCAUUCCUUCCUGAGCCCGGCGUCUUCGCGCGGUUAUCAAAGUUAUUUUUACACGUCGAGAAUUUUUCAAGUGAGCACUUGUGCGGUGGCACCUUCUCCUUGUCGCGCUUGUGCCUUGAAGAAAUUUACCGGCUUAUUUAUAGCCCGUGUUUAUUUUUACUCAACUCCUGAACUUGAGCUUCCGAGAAUAGCUACUACAUUCAACUAAGUACUUACUAAAUCUUCCUCCUUAUGGGCAGUUGGUCAAGAUGUAAGACAUUGACCCAUCCUCAACAAGGGCAAAUGGAAAGGAAGCCUUUUAUGGAGCUUCCCUCUUUUCAAACUGGAAAAUUGGCAGCAAUGGGGCUUAGAAGUGAGUCGGAAAGUCUGUGUCAGGCUGGCAACAUGACCCUUUUGAAGAUGAGGGGUGUUUACGGGUUUAUUUAUAAAAAACGACAGAGCUGGAGCUCUGUUCACUUGGCACCACAAUGGAAUUCUGACCACAUUUUCAGGUAAAAUCUCGUCGCAGAGGCUUCUCACCUGUCCUUCCUCCAAGGAGUCACAGCACUCUCAGAUGGCCAGGCAUGAACUUCAGCGAGAGAACUUCUGGGGGCGGGGGGCAGGUGGACUUGAAUCCUAUCAUCAUUUGGUUGCCGUACCUUCUUCACAUCACUGUACUUCCAAAGCAAAUGUUCUCCAACAUUGUCCUUUUCCAGAAAAAUUCAGUAUUCAAACAUCACAAAAUUUAUAGGAAGUGUGAGGACAGCUAAUGAAGUAGGUAGGGUGGAUUUGGACCAAUCUAGGUAACAAAACUAUGAAAGUGGAGAGAGGAUGCCAUAAAAGAUGGCCAGAGUAGAGCAAGGAUGGAGGGGAAGCCCUGCCCUCACUUAGAACUGGUUCCUUGGGGUGAGGACAACUGGACAAAAAAUGAAGGAACCACAUCACUUCAGGCUGGCUCAUUCAUUCACUGCAUGUCAAGCACCUGUUCUGAGUCUCGGGGACACAGGUGCACAAGAUCUGCUCCUGAAGUUCAAGGAGCUCGCCCAGGUAGCCAGACAGGGAUACGGGGACACACUCUGCAGGGAUUCAGGACCCACUGAUGCCCUCAUGUAGGUAAGCUGAGCUGCAUGGGGAAGAUGGGCUCCCGCCUGUGUCCUACUCCAUGGCCGGGAAAAGAGGGUCCUACCAAGGCCUAAGAAAGUAUAUUGGCAGAGGGGGAGAAGAAACUCUCACACUGCCACCCUUUCUUUCUUUUUUUUUUUUUUUUUUUAGAUUAUUUAUUUAUUUACUUAUUUAUUCAUGAGAGACACAGAGGCAGAGACACAGGCAAGGGAGAGAAGCUGUAGGAAGCUGGAUGUGGAACUCGAUCCCAUGACCCCGGGAUCAUACCCUGAGCCAAAGGCAGAUGCUCAACCACUGAGCCAUCCAGGCGUCCCAAACCCCAAAGCCCUUGAUCAUGAUUGGAACAGGGUCAAGAAUUGACCUGGAAGCAAUUAAAAAUGUUAACUAUGACACA